UUUGCAGCUGUUACUCUCCUGAGGCCAUUAUGAAAGUGUCUGACUCCAAGAGCUAUAGCCAUAGCUUUUUCUCAGGAGCAUUACAAAGAGCACCACGUAAGGAGGAGAACCUGAUUGAGAGGAGUGGUUUAUGGGCAGAAGAUGCUGUGGAAUUUAUACACCAGCUUCCAGCUUUAGAAAACAAGUAAAGGCAAGUUACCACAGUUUUCCUUCCCCUUGAAGCUAAAGGAAAGGU